rnacentral:rRNA from 1 species
CGAACGCUGGCGGCAGGCUUAACACAUGCAAGUCGAGCGCCGUAGCAAUACGGAGCGGCAGACGGGUGAGUAACGCGUGGGAACGUACCUUUUGGUUCGGAACAACACAGGGAAACUUGUGCUAAUACCGAAUAAGCCCUUACGGGGAAAGAUUUAUCGCCGAAAGAUCGGCCCGCGUCUGAUUAGCUUGUUGGUGAGGUAACGGCUCACCAAGGCGACGAUCAGUAGCUGGUCUGAGAGGAUGAUCAGCCACAUUGGGACUGAGACACGGCCCAAACUCCUACGGGAGGCAGCAGUGGGGAAUAUUGGACAAUGGGCGCAAGCCUGAUCCAGCCAUGCCGCGUGAGUGAUGAAGGCCCUAGGGUUGUAAAGCUCUUUUUGUGCGGGAAGAUAAUGACGGUACCGCAAGAAAUAAGCCCCGGCUAACUUCGUGCCAGCAGCCGCGUAUACGAUGGGGCUAGCGUUGCUCGAUCACUGGGCGUAAAGGUGCGUAGCGGUCUUUAGUCAGAGGUGAAAGCUGAGCUCACUCCAGAACUGCUUGAACUGAGAUCUCGAGUCGGAGGAG